rnacentral:rRNA from 1 species
AUUGAACGCUGGCGGCAUGCCUUACACAUGCAAGUCGAACGGCAGCGGACCUUCGGGUGCCGGCGAGUGGCGAACGGGUGAGUAAUAUAUCGGAACGUACCUUUCAGUGGGGGAUAACGUAGCGAAAGUUACGCUAAUACCGCAUAUUCUGUGAGCAGGAAAGCAGGGGAUCGCAAGACCUUGCGCUGAUUGAGCGGCCGAUAUCAGAUUAGCUAGUUGGUGCGGUAACGGCGCACCAAGGCGACGAUCAGUAGGGGGCGUGAGAGCGUGGACCCCCACACGGGUACUGAGACACGGACCCGACUCCUACGGGAGGCAGCAGUAAGGAAUAUUGGUCAAUGGAGGAAACUCUGAACCAGCCAUCCCGCGUGCAGGAAGAAUGCCCUAUGGGUUGUAAACUGCUUUUAUCUGGGAAGAAAAGUCGGGAUUUAUCCUGAUCUGACGGUACCAGAGGAAUAAGCACCGGCUAACUCCGUGCCAGCAGCCGCGGUAAA